CCAAUUUGCAUAAAAAAUCCACAAGUUUAGAGCUUUUGCAAAACUAUGUCACCUUUUUCAAUUUUGCAUAUUCGGGCCGGAUAUUCCGCCAACGGGCAAAAAUACUCUUAUUCCUUUUCUUUCUCUCUCUUCUUUUUUUCUCUCUCUUUUUUUUUCCUUUGUUAUUUUUUUCUCUCUGACCCUCAUUGCCUCCUCCACCGUCUUCGCUGCCCUC
rnacentral:lncRNA from 1 species